UGCGCCAAGGUGUGCAAGACCGCAGCUGC
rnacentral:piRNA from 1 species